rnacentral:rRNA from 1 species
GACGAACGCUGGCGGCGUGCUUAACACAUGCAAGUCGAACGGAGUGGCGAACGGGUGAGUAAUGUAUCGUAACGUGCCCAGUAGCGGGGGAUAACUACGCGAAAGCGUAGCUAAUACCGCAUAAUAUUGAAGCGGCCGAUAUCGGAUGAGCUAGUUGGUGGGGUAACGGCUCACCAAGGCGACGAUCCGUAGCUGGUUUGAGAGGGCGAACGGCCACACUGGGACUGAGACACGGCCCAGACUCCUACGGGAGGCAGCAGUGGGGAAUGUUAGACAAUGGGGUAAACCCUGAUCCAGCAAUCCCGCGUGAGCGAUGAAGGCCUUCGGAUUGUAAAGCACUUUUGGCAGGAAAGCGGUACCUGCAGAAUAAGCAACGGCUAACUACGUGCCAGCAGCCGCGGUAAUUC